AUUGAACGCUGGCGGCAGGCCUAACACAUGCAAGUCGAACGGUAACAGGGAUCAGCUUGCUGAUUCGCUGACGAGUGGCGGACGGGUGAGUAAUGUCUGGGAAACUGCCUGAUGGAGGGGGAUAACUACUGGAAACGGUAGCUAAUACCGCAUAACGUCGCAAGACCAAAGAGGGGGACCUUCGGGCCUCUUGCCAUCGGAUGUGCCCAGAUGGGAUUAGCUAGUAGGUGGGGUAACGGCUCACCUAGGCGACGAUCCCUAGCUGGUCUGAGAGGAUGACCAGCUACACUGGAACUGAGACACGGUCCAGACUCCUACGGGAGGCAGCAGUGGGGAAUAUUGCACAAUGGGCGCAAGCCUGAUGCAGCCAUGCCGCGUGUAUGAAGAAGGCCUUCGGGUUGUAAAGUACUUUCAGCGGGGAGGAAGGGAGUAAAGUUAAUACCUUUGCUCAUUGACGUUACCCGCAGAAGAAGCACCGGCUAACUCCGUG
rnacentral:rRNA from 1 species